CCUACGGGUGGCAGCAGUGAGGAAUAUUGGUCAAUGGACGCAAGUCUGAACCAGCCAUGCCGCGUGCAGGAAGACGGCUCUAUGAGUUGUAAACUGCUUUUGUACGAGCGUAAACGCAGAUACGCGUUUCUGUUUGAAAGUAUCGUCCGCAUAAGGAUCGGCUCACUCCGUGCCAGCAGCCGCGGUAAUACGGAGGAUUCAAGCGUUAUCCGGAUUUAUUGUGUUUAAAGGGUGCGUAGGCGGUCGGAUAAGUUAGAUGUGAAAUCCCGAGGCUCAACUUCGGAAUUGCCUCUGAUACUGUUCGGCUAGAGAGUAGUUGCGGUAGGCGGAAUGUAUGGUGUAGCGGUGAAAUGCUUAGAGAUCAUACAGAACACCGAUUGCGAAGGCAGCUUACCAAGCUACUUCUGACGUUGAGGCACGAAAGCGUGGGGAGCAAACAGGAUUAGAUACCCCAGUAGUC
rnacentral:rRNA from 1 species